rfam:Agrilus planipennis Contig39438, whole genome shotgun sequence.
UCUCUCGUAGCUUAGUGGUCAGAGCAGUGUUGCGUAAAGCCAAAGGUCCCAGGUUCAAUUCCCGGCGGGGGUG